rnacentral:rRNA from 1 species
GGAAACGAUGUGGGAAGGCUCAGACAGCUAGGAUGUUGGCUUAGAAGCAGCCAUCAUUUAAAGAAAGCGUAAUAGCUCACUAGUCGAGUCGGCCUGCGCGGAAGAUGUAACGGGGCUAAGCAAUACACCGAAGCUGCGGCAAUAUCUUUUAGAUAUUGGGUAGGGGAGCGUUCUGUAAGCCGUUGAAGGUGAAUCGUAAGGUUUGCUGGAGGUAUCAGAAGUGCGAAUGCUGACAUGAGUAACGACAAAGGGGGUGAAAAACCUCCUCGCCGGAAGACCAAGGGUUCCUGUCCAACGUUAAUCGGGGCAGGGUGAGUCGACCCCUAAGGUGAGGCCGAAAGGCGUAAUCGAUGGGAAACGGGUUAAUAUUCCCGUACUUCUGACUAUUGCGAUGGGGGGACGGAGAAGGCUAGGUGGGCCAGGCGACGGUUGUCCUGGUUCAAGUGCGUAGGCUUGAGAGUUAGGUAAAUCCGGCUCUCUCUAAGGCUGAGACACGACGUCGAGCUGCUACGGCAGUGAAGUCAUUGAUGCCAUGCUUCCAGGAAAAGCCUCUAAGCUUCAGAUAGUCAGGAAUCGUACCCCAAACCGACACAGGUGGUCGGGUAGAGAAUACCAAGGCGCUUGAGAGAACUCGGGUGAAGGAACUAGGCAAAAUGGUACCGUAACUUCGGGAGAAGGUACGCUCUUGAUGGUGAAGUCCCUCGCGGAUGGAGCUGACGAGAGUCGCAGAUACCAGGUGGCUGCAACUGUUUAUUAAAAACACAGCACUGUGCAAAAUCGCAAGAUGACGUAUACGGUGUGACGCCUGCCCGGUGCCGGAAGGUUAAUUGAUGGGGUUAGCGCAAGCGAAGCUCUUGAUCGAAGCCCCGGUAAACGGCGGCCGUAACUAUAACGGUCCUAAGGUAGCGAAAUUCCUUGUCGGGUAAGUUCCGACCUGCACGAAUGGCGUAAUGAUGGCCACGCUGUCUCCACCCGAGACUCAGUGAAAUUGAAAUCGCUGUGAAGAUGCAGUGUACCCGCGGCUAGACGGAAAGACCCC